AAUCUAACCAUGACCGGGUAAAUCCGGAAACCCUAAUUAUGAAUGUCAUAUUAAGGGUGCAUAACAGAACGACGAAGACUGUGUCUCCAGCUUCCGAAUUGAGGAGAGUGAGAUGUAGUGAAACGAAAUUUAUUAGCCGUUUGUACCUUCCUGUAUAUUAUACUGUAAUUAUCUGUUGAUAUACCACACGGUAUAUAUAGCUUCUCUCAAUGGUCAUCGGAGCAACUACGAGGAUAGUCGGGGAAUUUGGUUAAUUUUCCUGGUUUUACUUCAUCAUCCCCUGGGAUACUGAUUGUAUACUGUGUGCUAUAUUUGUUCUGGUCAUGUUUGAAACUAAGAAAAAUGAAGGAUCACGUGUUAGUGCCUAAAACUUUAGUGACUAAGAGUCGUGUCUUCAUCGAACCCACCCCAUCUAAAAACCUUCAGGCGCCCUAAAUUAGGAAUACGGAGAGAUUGGCAAAGAUAUACAAAGUGAAUUAUUGAAGGUAUUAUAACAAGCUCCUCCGAAAUUUAAAGGGCCAUCGUCACAAGAAGGUGUGAGGUCUUUUUAGACAUUGUAUUAACUGAAGAAAUACUAGAAACAAUCAGUGACCGGAAGAAUAUAUCAGUAUCUGUGUACCAGAUGUUGAAAAUUUCGCAGCACAACUGAUAUUUAAAUAACACGAAAUCAUGUAAGUUACUUAAAAUAGGUAAUAUUUUAAGUAAUGAGUAUAAAUUAUUAUUACUGUUAAAUUUUA